AUGAUUGCUCUGGGCGGUCACAAGGCUCAAGGAAGCUCUUUGAAGACCAACGAUAAAAAUAAUAAAAGGGGGUGGAGGAUUCUGGUACACUUAGAUCCUCAGCACCUCCACUGGCGCCCCCAAACAUCUAGGGGAGUGGGGAAAUAUGGACGUGCCCUUGCAAGUCGGAGGGUUGAUACAAAUGAUGGGGACCGUGGGGAAGAGGGCAUUGUGUCCAGCCCCCGCCCCCCCCGCCUGCAGGCGCAUUCUCCUCCCCGCUUGAAAGAACAUCCUCUGGUCCCGGAAGGGGAGGACGAGGUGCAGAUGAAGAAAAUAUGGGCCUCAGAAAUCAGGAGGCUCAUAUAGACAGAAGUGGAAGGAACGAGUUGGGGAGAUGAUGCAUUCAUUCAUUCAAUCAUUCAUUCAUUCAGCAAAUAUUCACUGAAAUGGGGACAGCCAGAGACAAAGGACCAGAGGAAUUAAAUGGAGACACUGAUAGGGGGAGAUCCGGCAGAAAUAUCCUCAUAUUUCGACGAGUGUGGAGAUGCAGAGGCCUGAGCCACCUAUCCCCCCAGAGGGAUGCUUCAGCUGGUGAGAGCCACAUGGGGAGCUCAAGAAGGGACUGGACUACUCGAGGGCCAGAAGGGACACUAGUCACAAUGGACUGAAGCAAUCGAAUAUGUUUAAAGCCAUCAAUUCUUAAUUAUGCUACUGUUUUUAAAAAACUAACUGGCCCAAGUUUGAAAGGGGCUAGAGAAUCAACUCAUUAUUUCAAAAUUCACAAAUGCAGGAACAGAAUUGAGUAUUUAUCCCAUCUUUGCUAUAUGAGCCACCACACUCAGUAACCAAAUAGUAAAUGAGGGGCAGUUUCUGUGUCGAGAAUUAUUCCAGCUAAUAAAGGAAGGAGUGAUUGAAUGUGGUAUCACCAUUGGGGGCGGGGAGGGAGGGAGACUGGUGGAUGAGGCAUGAAGCAUCCAUGGUUGCUAUGCUUCUGGAUGGAAGAAGCAGUACCACCAUCUGUGAAGUGGUCUUGCCAAAGAAAAUAGAACCUACACCUGAUCAGGACUUUCAAUCCAACUACCAUUUACAGGAAAUAACAAUGUACAGGAAAUACAAUUUACAGGAAGUACAGAGGGUCAGAGAGACUUGUUAAAGAACACACUAGACAUGCAAUCAGCGAAACCCAGACUGGAAGAUUGCACACCAAAUAGCCUGGUUCUCUCAAGGAAAGAGACAGAGAGAAAGAGAGAAAGAGAGAGGUUUUAAUGGGGAAUCUAUGGAUUUAAAGAGAUUUAAAGGAGACAUAUCCAUCAGUUGUAGGGUGUGCACCUUAUUUGGAUCCGGAUUCAAACAAAUAUAUUGUAAAAAACAAAAAACAAAAAACCAAACACAUUUAUAAGAAAUUGGAAUUCUGAACACUAUAGGUCUGAUAUUAAGGAAUUAUUAACUUUAAGGUCUGCUAAUGUACUAGUUGUAAUAAUUGUGAUUGUUUAAAAAUGAGUCAUUCUAUUAAAAAAUAGUAAAUUAGAAGAGUCAUCAUCUUUCAAAGUUACAUGCUAAAAUAUUGACGGAAGAAAUUAAAUAGGGAAACUUGGGUGGGUACAGGUGAAGCAGAUUGGCCACGAGUUGCUGACUGUUGAAGUUGGGUCAUGGAUAUAUAGGGGUUCAUUCUUUUAUUCUGCAGACUUUUGUUUAAAAUUUGCAAACUAAGGGGC
rnacentral:lncRNA from 1 species